rnacentral:rRNA from 1 species
CAUUGAUGGAGAGUUUGAUCCUGGCUCAGGACGAACGCUGGCGGCGUGCUUAACACAUGCAAGUCGAGCGAGGAGCUUGCUCCUAGCGGCGAACGGGUGAGUAACACGUGGGCAACCUGCCCCAAGCUCUGGAAUAACUCCGGGAAACCGGGGCUAAUGCCGGAUAUGACAUCAUCGGGCAUCUGGUGAUGUGGAAAGAUUUAUCG